rnacentral:misc_RNA from 1 species
GAUGAAGAACGUAGCGAAAUGCGAUAAGUAAUGUGAAUUGCAGAAUUCAGUGAAUCAUCGAAUCUUUGAACGCACAUUGCGCCCGCCAGUAUUCUGGCGGGCAUGCCUGUUCGAGCGUCAUUUCAACCAUCAAGCCCCCGGCUUGUGUUGGGGACCUGCGGCUGCCGCAGGCCCUGAAAAGCAGUGGCGGGCUCGCUGUCACACCGAGCGUAGUAGAUUUCAUCUCGCUCAGGGCGUGCUGCGGGUUCCGGCCGUUAAACCACCUUCAUAACCCAAGGUUGACCUCGGAUCAGGUAGGAAGACCCGCUGAACUUAAGCAUAUCAAUAAGCGGGGA